rnacentral:rRNA from 1 species
AUUCACGCUGGCGGCGUGCAUAACCCAUGCCAGUCGCACGAUGAAACUUUACUGACUUCUUCGGAAUGAUUUAAAGCGGAUUAGUGGCGAACGGGUGAGUAACGCGUGAGUAACCUGCCUUACACAAGGGGAUAGCCUCUGGAAACGGAGAAUAAUACCCUAUGAAACCAGACAAUCGCAUGAUAAUCUGGUCAAAAUGUUUAGUGGUGUAAGAUGGACUUGCGUCUGAUUAGCUAGUUGGUGAGAUAAAAGCUCACCAAGGCAACGAUCAGUAGCCGGCUUGAGAGAGUGUACGGCCACAUUGGGACUGAGACACGGCCCAGACUCCUACGGGAGGCAGCAGUGGGGAAUUUUGCACAAUGGGGGAAACCCUGAUGCAGCGACGCCGCGUGAUUUAGAAGGCCUUCGGGUUGUAAAAAUCUUUUGUAUAGGAAGAAAAUGACAGUACUAUACGAAUAAGGUCCGGCUAAUUACGUG